CUCCAUGCAUUUACCUCACCUCCAGAAUCUUCCCUCACUUCCCAGACCUGUCCUUCAGUCAGGAUCUUCAUGUUCUCUUUGGGCCUCAUUUUCUCCCUGGAACCCACCUCUCAGCACCAACUCUUCUUUCUGGAAACCAAGCCUCCAGCUUCUCCAGGCCAGAUAGUCUUUUGAUUCAACUGUCAACAACUCCAAGGCCGUCUACAUCCAGAUCUGAAGCGAUGUUGUCAUCUUCUACAUAACGAAGUAACACUUCC
rnacentral:lncRNA from 1 species